CAGACAUGCAGGCCUCACUACUGUCACCAGGUGUUUGCUUCAUGGGUGAGGGGUACGGACAGUUUGCCGUGGCUCAGCGAGUGGAGGAAGUGGCUAUUGAAUUCAGAACAUCUCAACUCCUACAAGUCAACACUCAGCUCAACACUGACUGUGAACGAUGAGGCCAUAAACCCCCUAGUCUCAGGAGGACCCCCACAGGCCUCCUGAUGGGCGGGUCACCUGGUCAGACCAGUGCCGUGGUGGGAGAGAGUUUGAGAAUGUAUUGAAUGAGAAGAAGUCCAGUCCUCUAGACAGUAUCAGAGGGCCUCCCUCGUUCCUAUACCAUCCACAGAGGUUGAGGAGAAGAGUGGAACCAUUCGAUGUCUAGAGGAUGACCUGCUGAGGGAGUUGGAGCAGAAGCUGCUCGAGAGGUCUCAAAUCAUGGACCUGGGUGUCGUGGCUGAGCUGGAGUGAGAAUUGGAACUGGCCAACAGCAAGGCAGUCUGCUGUGCAGCUAGGAGAGACGUGUGAUGGAGGAAGAGCUCAAGAAGGCACUGUGUAGACAUAUUCGAGUGCUACGAACAACAGUUUGAGGCUGAGUAAUGAACUCGUACGCCUUCAAAAAGUGCAGAGAGUUCUUCCUGCGAGCAUCGACAGUGGACCCCCCGGACAGAAAGCUGGGUAUCGACGAGUAUUCUGACGUGACCCAGACUAUGCUCACCAAACUACAUCAGUCAGUGUCCAUGGAGAUAUGCUCCACCCACUCUGUUCAGGUUCAGAAAUGUUGUGUUUGAGAUCACAUCAGGCAGAUAGAGAAGGUGGAGCUGGUCCUCCAGGACCUCCUUCAGCUGCAAUACGAGGGCCUAGCAAUCAUGAAGAUGUUUGAGACGGUCAAAUUGAACGUUAAUCUGCUCAUUUUGCUUAUGAACAAAAAUCGCUAAGCGUUAUAUUGUAUUUCCUGUAUUCAUGACAAUUUUAUGUACGUACAGUGCAUGUACUCUCUGUGACACUGUUUAAAAGCGAAACCAUCAUUAUUGCUGUGCUAUUGACCAUUAAUUUCUAACUUGAUUUGUUUAGGUAGUGGUUAAGUAAUGUGCCUAUUUCUGUCUUCUGUGCACUAACCGUUCUCAAAGCAUUUAAAUUG